rnacentral:lncRNA from 1 species
GACUAUAUGUUGAUAUGUUUGUAAUAUGGAAGUGGGGUGAGGUGACUAUACAUGUCAUAAGUGAUGAUGCAUUAAUAAUUAAAAUAUCAUAUCACUUUUUUAUUUUAGUUAUUCAUCGAUAAUUAAUGAAUUAAAGUAGGAGGUAAAACUUGACUGCAACAAUUUUAAAACUUCGUAGGAGGUAAAACUUGACUGCAACAAUUUUAAAAGUUCGAAUAAGAAGUUGCUAUAAAUUAAAGUUCAAGAAAUAAAGCGUCACAUGUACCAUAGUUUUACGACCAAAAUUGUGAUUUAGCCUUUUUUUUUUUAGUUAAUUUCAUACAGGUUCUUACAAAUAUAAUGAAUUACAAAUAUAUUCCUAUAAAGUUCAACUUUCAUAUGUUGUCCCUAUUAAAAUCUUGAUGUUUUCUAAUAUGUCCUUGCCGUUACGAUCCAUUAGAAAAAAUUAGCUAAUUAUAGGUAAAAUAUUUAAUUCUAGUUAGUUAAUGAGGUGAAUUGACCUUUUUAACCCUUUUUAAUUAAUAGUUGGGAUUUUUGGAGGGACAUAUUUGUAAUGAUAAAAAGGUCAUUUCACUUAUAUAAUAAACAGUGUUUUAACGGUAACAAAAUAGAGAGACAUAUUUAAAAAUAUUAGGACUUUUAUAAGGACAACAUAUGAAAGCUGAACUUUGCAUGAAUAUAUUUAUAAUUUAUUAUAUUUGUAGGGACAUGUAUGAAAUUAACCUUUUUUUUUUU